rnacentral:rRNA from 1 species
GAUGAACGCUAGCGGCAGGCCUAACACAUGCAAGUCGAGCGCGAAAGUUCUUCGGAAUGAGUAAAGCGGCGGACGGGUGAGUAAUACAUGGGAAUCUGCCUGGUAGUGGGGGACAACGUUUCGAAAGGAACGCUAAUACCGCAUACGCCCUACGGGGAAAGGGGGGAUCUUCGGACCUCUCGCUAUCAGAUGAGCCCAUG